AACUGUUUUGAUGGCAUUGUAAUAUACAAGAGUGAUGUCGAAACAUUAAAUGGAAGCAAGUGGUUGUGUGAUACCAUAAUUGACUUUUUUUUAAGGUAUUACUGCAAAACGGCAGAAAGAAAAGACGAUGGGGAACAAUAUUAUGCCUUUUCUAGUUUUUUCCAACAGAAACUACUCAUGAAAGGACACGUAUCAAAGCGACCAUUAGAUCUUUCGGGAUGCAACUUACAUGGAGUGAGGAGAUACACC